rnacentral:rRNA from 1 species
CCCUGGCUCAGAUUGAACGCUGGCGGCAUGCCUUACACAUGCAAGUCGAACGGCAGCGCGGGAGCAAUCCUGGCGGCGAGUGGCGAACGGGUGAGUAAUACAUCGGAACGUGCCCAAUCGUGGGGGAUAACGCAGCGAAAGCUGUGCUAAUACCGCAUACGAUCUACGGAUGAAAGCAGGGGAUCGCAAGACCUUGCGCGACUGGAGCGGCCGAUGGCAGAUUAGGUAGUUGGUGAGGUAAAGGCUCACCAAGCCUGCGAUCUGUAGCUGGUCUGAGAGGACGACCAGCCACACUGGGACUGAGACACGGCCCAGACUCCUACGGGAGGCAGCAGUGGGGAAUUUUGGACAAUGGGCGCAAGCCUGAUCCAGCCAUGCCGCGUGCAGGAUGAAGGCCUUCGGGUUGUAAACUGCUUUUGUACGGAACGAAAAGGUCUUCUCUAAUAAAGAGGGCUCAUGAACGGUACCGUAAGAAUAAGCACCGGCUAACUA